AGCGAACGCUGGCGGCAGGCCUAACACAUGCAAGUCGAACGGAUCCUUCGGGAUUAGUGGCGGACGGGUGAGUAACACGUGGGAACGUGCCCUUUGGUUCGGAACAACUCAGGGGAAACUUGAGCUAAUACCGGAUGUGCCCUUCGGGGGAAAGAUUUAUCGCCAUUGGAGCGGCCCGCGUCUGAUUAGCUAGUUGGUGAGGUAAAGGCUCACCAAGGCGACGAUCAGUAGCUGGUCUGAGAGGAUGAUCAGCCACACUGGGACUGAGACACGGCCCAGACUCCUACGGGAGGCAGCAGUGGGGAAUAUUGCGCAAUGGGCGAAAGCCUGACGCAGCGACGCCGCGUGGGUGAUGAAGGCCUUGGUCGUAAGACCUCGUCGCC
rnacentral:rRNA from 1 species